rnacentral:rRNA from 1 species
CCGGUACCGGGAACUGUCGCGACGCGGUGACCUGCGGCAGGGAUCAUUACACAAAUAUGAAGGCGGGCUGGAACCUCUCGGGGUUACAGCCUUGCUGAAUUAUUCACCCUUGUCUUUUGCGUACUUCUUGUUUCCUUGGUGGGUUCGCCCACCACUAGGACAAACAUAAACCUUUUGUAAUUGCAAUCAGCGUCAGUAACAAAUUAAUAAUUACAACUUUCAACAACGGAUCUCUUGGUUCUGGCAUCGAUGAAGAACGCAGCGAAAUGCGAUAAGUAGUGUGAAUUGCAGAAUUCAGUGAAUCAUCGAAUCUUUGAACGCACAUUGCGCCCUUUGGUAUUCCAAAGGGCAUGCCUGUUCGAGCGUCAUUUGUACCCUCAAGCUUUGCUUGGUGUUGGGCGUCUUGUCUCUAGCUUUGCUGGAGACUCGCCUUAAAGUAAUUGGCAGCCGGCCUACUGGUUUCGGAGCGCAGCACAAGUCGCACUCUCUAUCAGCAAAGGUCUAGCAUCCAUUAAGCCUUUUUUUCAACUUUUGACCUCGGAUCAGGUAGGGAUACA